UUUCUCAGAAGGGAAGUGCUUCCAGCUCUAGGGCUCUUUCAAGAGCUCCAUUCCCAUGUACUUGCUGGAAACUUUCAGGAAACCGCAUUCCUUUUCUUGUCCCCAUUUAGCAAUGUGAUCUCUCCCAGCUAGAAUGCUUCCCAGACCACCUCAUCAGCCAGGCCUGGGAAUGGAAUGUGGCCGCGAGGGGCUAACGCGUUGGGGUUUAGGUCUAGUUUCCAUGUUGUGUUUGUGAGUAAGAGAGGAAAGGAAUGAUUUUUUUCUCCUGAGAAUAUUUUGUCAACCCCCAGCAUAUUUCAAAGCAUUCAAGGUCUCUAAUGAAUCAAAGGAUUCAAAGUCUCUAAUCUGGGGAUGAGGGGGAAUGGAACUUGAGAUGGCAAUGAUAUCAAGUUCUGUCUCAAAGUGGCUAGAGUUGGCCUGUAUUUUAGGUCAAGAGGCAUUUGACAAGUGUCAGAAAAAUCCAUAGGAAUCUUACUAGUGAUUUUCUGUCACUUCCUUUGGAAAUGAUCAGACUAGAGGAAAUUAACUGUAAGAAGAGCAAGACUGUGUUAAGACUGUUAAAAAGGGUUGGGGGGGAGGGCGUAGGAGGCAAAAAAGAAAAAUCAAUUGGAAUAUUAUAUGAUUUUGGACGAAUGAUUUCUUUAUUUUAGAAAAUGCAGUAAAGCAAAUUGCAACAUAAAGCAAUAGAAUCCAACAAAUUGUACCACAAGGAUUAUUAUAUACAAUCCCAAGACAAAGUCAAUGUUGCCAUGGAAACACUUGGCCAUAAUGAAGUUCCUUGCUACAUGGAGAACAGCCUCAGUGGGCUGUUCCUUUCAUAGCGUGUUGUUUGCAUUUAAAUGGGACAAUGUGAGCUGUGUAAUCUGCUUGGAGAUUAAAAUAAUUUACCCUCUCCAACUCCAUGGGCCCUGUGAAAGAUGUACAAACUAAACUCCAUGGGAGAACAACACUGCAAUAUAAAUGCAAGGAAUGGAACGUGAGAGAGAUAGAGAUGAAAGGAAAACGAAACAGGAAAUCCUAGUGGCGAAGCUCCAUUCUCAAGUCCCAUUAAAGGAAGAGGUCAGAGUUAAAGAGAGUGCUGAGCCCACUCAUUCGCAUAUUUAUUUUGGCCAGACGUCUGCCUUCUAACCUAGAAAACUGCAGUUUUGGAGCUGGAGGCUCCCACGUCG
rnacentral:lncRNA from 1 species